rnacentral:rRNA from 1 species
GACGAACGCUGGCGGCAUGCUUAACACAUGCAAGUCGAACGAGACGGCCGGGCCUAUGUGGGGUGGUCUACUUGCGAACGGGGAAGUAACACGUGAGUAACCUACACCUGACUGUGGGAGAUCUUAAGGAAACUUGAUGUAAUAGCGGCUAGGAGCUCCUGCUGCAUGGUGGGGGUUGGUAGGUUUAGGCGGUUGGUGAUGGACUCGCCGACUAUCAGCUUGAUGGGUGGGUAGUGUAUUACCAAGGCUUGGACGCGUAGCAGGCCUGAGAGGGUGAGCGGCCACACUGGGACGGAACUACGGCCCAGACUCCUACGGGAGGCAGGGGUGGGGUAUAGUGUACAAUGGGCGGAAGCCUGACGCAGUAACGCAGCGUGCGGGAUGACGUCAUUCGGGUUGUAUACCACUUUCGCCUGUGACGAAGCGUUAGUGACGGUAACGGGUAAAGAAGCACCGGCUAACUACGUG